UCUUCAAAAAUUCAUUAAUUUCAAUCUAUUAACACUGCAAGUGCAUUUUUUUUCUCCACAAAUGUAUCAUAUUUCAUUUACAACACAAAAAUAUUUAUUUUAAAUAAUUUUCGCAUUCUUUGUUUGUUUUCAUUUCGUUUUGACUCACAUCAAUCAAAGUCAAAGGCACUGCCACAAAACACACUGCUUUCAAAAUUGUGCGCUGUUGUCAAAUUAUAUACCAAUUAUAAUUAUCAACAGGGUUUGUGUAAACAUAUAUUCUUUACAGCUUCCAAAUCUCUAUUUAUUUACUAUUUGUGUGCGCUACUGAUCACUUACUACCCGCAUUGACUUAAAAAAUCGACUAAUCAUUUGCGCACAGCUGACCAGUAUUGCGGCGCACACAGACCGGUUAAACGUACAAAUCGUCCGAUUGGGAGGCUUAACCAUUGACGCUUAUCAAUAAACGCUUACACACACCGUUGCGGUAUGGCGUAUGACUAAUACAUUAUUUUUUGCAAUUGCGACAUGAAUAUUGAAAUGAAUUUCAACGUAACUUCGCUUGCUAGCGUCCCUUACCGAAAGUGCGGUAAGCUGAUAAGUUGGCCGUACACAAACGAACACAAUACAAUACACAUAUGCAUACACAUUAUUUUCGCUUUAUACAAAGAGCAGUAGCUUUAAUAUACGCUCUUGUAAAAUAAUAAAACAAAGCGCUGCUGUGCAAGUUAAAAGUAAACCGAAUUGUGGUUAUGGAGGCACUUGCGGCGCGUCUGUGCGACGAAGAGGCUAGCAAACGGCUGAUAAGCGUGCAGGUAUGCGGAUUAUUUUCAAUGUAAAUAAGUGAAUAAAUAACCGAGACAUUUAUCACUUGCAUUAAACGAGUUGACACAGACGGACGCGCGAGCAUAUAUAUAUUUCGACAAGUCAAUUUUACGUGAAAGAGCGUCACCCAAUAUGUUAGCGGCAUAAUUAUAAACUGUCAAAAUUGACAGCAUAAACAGCUGGUUUACUGUUUACAUGACAUCUUUAUAGUUGUUCAAAAUAUAGUACGAAGUGAGUGUGUGAGGUGAAGUCACUUAAGUGUGUUUCUGUGGCAAGGCUUAAUUCGGGGUGACUUUGUGUAUGGUAGAAAACGAAGCUUAUAGUGUUGAAGCUGCUGUUCUUCAUUUAAAGUCGUAAUAAAGUAAUUUAAAAGACGCAAAACAUUAAAAAAAUAUCACAAUUGUGUAAAAUAGAACAAUAAAUAUCAAUAAAAGUGUUAAAUGUGUGUAAAACUAACUUAAUUGUGCAUAAAAAUCAAUAACAAAAGCUGUUGUAACGCACUGAAAAGGCUGCAGUGAAAAUAACGGACAAAUGCAUAAUCAUGUUUGUGCAAGUUUGAACAUAAAAUGUUUGCAGUAGUUUGCGACAAACAAAGUGUGUUACUGUGGCAAGGUGCAGUUCGAAAGCGCCGUUGUGUGAAUGUGGAAAACGAAAAGCUUAAACUCUUGUGAACUCUUGUUUGCAUUUAAAGUGGAAAUAAAUAAAUUUAAAACGCGGAAAACUAUAAACAAAUACCACAAUUGUGUAACAUUAAACAUAAACUAUUGAUAAGAGUAAAAAUUGUGACGGAAAUAAGCGUAUUAUGUAUAAAUAGUAAACGUAAAAGUUUGAAUAUAUAACUUGGUAAGAGACUGCAGUGAAAAUAACGGGAAAAUGUUUGUGCAAGUUUGGACAUAACAUAUUUGCUGAAGUUUGAGCAAACAAAACGUAUUAAACGAAGAAAAAAUGAAACAAUUCGAAAAUUCGACUUUAUUGAAAGUGUUGUGUUAAUAUAAAUAUAUUAAAUAAGUAUAAAUAAAAAAAUGUGUGUGGGAAUAAGAAAAGCCCAAAAAUAUCGUUAAUAAAAAAUAUAUCUAUAUAUAAAAAAUCAAAUAAAAUAGUGAGUAAGUGUGUGUCCAAAUAGAAAAUAGUGAAAAUGUAGGUCAUGUGUUAAUUAAAAAAUAUGCAAAAAGUUGUAAUAUAGAAAAAAGAAAAAAAAUGUAAGUGAUAUAAAAGUAGGUCUAUGUGGAAAUAAGAAAAUUAAAAAAAUAUAUCGAAAGUAGUAAAAAAAUAAAGUGAAAUUUUAAAUUUUCCCAAGAAAAAAAAAAGAAAAAAGCAAUAAAA